rnacentral:rRNA from 1 species
AUUGAACGCUGGCGGCAUGCCUUACACAUGCAAGUCGAACGGCAGCGGGGGAGAAGCUUGCUUUUCCUGCCGGCGAGUGGCGAACGGGUGAGUAAUACAUCGGAACGUGCCCUGUAGUGGGGGAUAACUAGUCGAAAGAUUAGCUAAUACCGCAUACGACCUGAGGGUGAAAGUGGGGGACCGCAAGGCCUCAUGCUAUAGGAGCGGCCGAUGUCUGAUUAGCUAGUUGGUGGGGUAAAGGCCUACCAAGGCGACGAUCAGUAGCUGGUCUGAGAGGACGAGCAGCCACACUGGGACUGAGACACGGCCCAGACUCCUACGGGAGGCAGCAGUGGGGAAUUUUGGACAAUGGGCGAGAGCCUGAUCCAGCAAUGCCGCGUGUGUGAAGAAGGCCUUCGGGUUGUAAAGCACUUUUGUCCGGAAAGAAAUGGCUCUGGUUAAUACCUGGGGUCGAUGACGGUACCGGAAGAAUAAGGACCGGCUAACUACGUGCCAGCCGCCGCGGUAA